ACGGAAGGCAGCAGUGGGGAAUAUUGCACAAUGGGGGCAACCCUGAUGCAGCGACGCCGCGUGAGGGAUGAAGGUUUUCGGAUUGUAAACCUCUGUCAACAGGGACGAAAAUGACGGUACCUGUGAAGGAAGCUCCGGCUAACUACGUGCCAGCAGCCGCGGCAAUACGUAGGGAGCAAGCGUUAUCCGGAAUUACUGGGUGUAAAGGGAGUGUAGGUGGGUUUGUAAGUCAGAUGUGAAAUAUACCGGCUCAACUGGUGGACUGCAUUUGAAACUGCUGUUCUUGAGUGAAGUAGAGGAAAGCGGAAUUCCUAGUGUAGCGGUGAAAUGCGUAGAUAUUAGGAGGAACAUCAGUGGCGAAGGCGGCUUACUGGGCUUUAACUGACGCUGAGGCUCGAAAGCGUGGGGAGCAAACAGGAUUAGAUACCCUGGUA
rnacentral:rRNA from 1 species